CAGCAGCCGCGGGAAUACAGAGGGUGCAAGCGUUAAUCGGAAUUACUGGGCGUAAAGCGCGCGUAGGUGGUUUGUUAAGUUGGAUGUGAAAUCCCCGGGCUCAACCUGGGAACUGCAUCCAAAACUGGCAAGCUAGAGUAUGGUAGAGGGUGGUGGAAUUUCCUGUGUAGCGGUGAAAUGCGUAGAUAUAGGAAGGAACACCAGUGGCGAAGGCGACCACCUGGACUGAUACUGACACUGAGGUGCGAAAGCGUGGGGAGCAAACAGGAUUAGAUACCCCUGUAGUCCCUGUCUCUUAUAC
rnacentral:rRNA from 1 species